UUGAACGCUGGCGGCAUGCCUUACACAUGCAAGUCGAACGGCAGCACGGGGGCGACCCUGGUGGCGAGUGGCGAACGGGUGAGUAACGCAUCGGAACGUACCCGGAAGUGGGGGAUAACGUAGCGAAAGUUACGCUAAUACCGCAUAUUCUGUGAGCAGGAAAGAGGGGGAUCGCAAGACCUCUCGCUUCCGGAGCGGCCGAUGUCGGAUUAGCUAGUUGGCGGGGUAAAGGCCCACCAAGGCGACGAUCCGUAGCGGGUCUGAGAGGAUGAUCCGCCACACUGGGACUGCGACACGGCCCAGACUCCUACGGGAGGCAGCAGUGGGGAAUUUUGGACAAUGGGGGCAACCCUGAUCCAGCCAUGCCGCGUGAGUGAAGAAGGCCUUCGGGUUGUAAAGCUCUGUCAGACGGAAAGAAAACGCAUCGGUGAAUACCCGGUGUGGAUGACGGUACCGUAAGAAGAAGCACCGGCUAACUACGU
rnacentral:rRNA from 1 species